AUGUAUAUGUUUAUGUGUGUAUAACUAUAAAUUACACUUGUACAACACCUUAUUUCCAGGCAGCUGAAGACAACACAACACAAAUCUCGUACACGUUUUAUGACACGCACACCACAACCAGAAUUCAGAAUGCAACACGAAGCGA